GUCACAAUGGUUCCCUUCCGUGACAUUUCUGACAUUCUCAUCCUUGACAUCACAAUGGAUGUAAAGUAAAACAAAGACAUCAGAGGUCAUAGAACUGGUUUAUUAAAACAUUUUGCAGCUGGUUUGAAGUGUCCAAGUGAUUGAUGACAUCAAUCAGCAAACACUGAUUCGAACUCACCAUCUCUAUCCUCACCCACUCUACCUUGCCAUCUCUAACUCACCAUCUCUAUCCUCACCAUCUCCAUCCUCACCCCCUCUACCUUGCCAUCUCUAACUCACCAUCUCUAUCCUCACCCUCUACCUCGCCAUCUCUAACUCACCAUCUCUACCUCACCAUCUCUAUCCUCACCCUCUCUACCUCUCCAUCUCUAGCUCACCAUCUCUAUCCUCACCAUCUCCAUCCUCACCAUCUCUAACUAAUUACUGUUGGUGAUAUUUGUGAGUGUAAAGGUUGUAUAGACUGGAAUGUACUGUAUAGGCUGAAUAAAGUAACAGGUAGAGAAGUUGCUUCUCUCUGAAUGCUCUGCUGUCAUGACAGCUCUCAUGACAUUGAAACUUUAUUGACCAAUUUUCAAAGGACAAAUCAAUCAAUCAAAUGUAUUUAUAAAGCCCUUCUUACAUCAGCUGAUGUCACAAAGUGCUGUACAGAAACCAAGGCUAAAACCCCAAACAGCAAGCAAUGCAGGUGUAGAAGCACGGUGGCUAGGAAAAACUCCCUAGAAAGGCCAGAACCUAGGAAGAAACCUAGAGAGGAACCAGGCUAUGAGGGGUGGCCAGACCACUUCUGGCUGUGCCGAAUGGAGAUUAUAACAGAACAUGGCCAAGAUGUUCAAAUGUUCAUAGAUGACCAGCAGGGUCAAAUAAUAAUAAUCACAGUGGUUGUAGAGGGUGCAACAGGUCAGCACCUCAGGAGUAUAUGUCAGUUGGCUUUUCAUAGCCGAUCAUUCAGAGUAUGUCUACUGCUCCUGCUGUCUCUAGAGAGUUGAAAACAGCAGGUCUGAGACAGGUAGCAUGUCCGGUGAACAGGUCAGGGUUCCAUAGCCGCGGGCAGAACAGUUGAAACUGGAGCAGCAGCACAACCAGGUGGACUGGGGACAGCAAGGAGUCAUCAGGCCAGGUAGUCCUGAGGCAUGGUCCUAGGGCUCAGGUCCUCUGAGAGAGAAAGAAAGAAAGAAAGAAAGAAAGAAAGAAAGAAAGAAAGAAAGAAAGAAAGAAAGAAAGAAAGAAAGAAAGAAAGAAAGAAAGAAAGAAAUAAGGAAAGAAAGAAAGAAAUAAGGAAAGAAAGAAUUAGAGAGAGCAUACUUAAAUUCACACAGGACACCGGAUAAGACAGGAGAAAUACUCCAGAUAUAACAGACUGACCCUAGCCCCCCGACACAAACUAUUGCAGCAUAAACACUGGAGGCUGAGACAGGAGGGGUUGGGAGACACUGUGGCCCCGUCCGACAAUACAAAUGCCCUGCAGAGUUGGCAUCUGGAGUAGCUGUAGCUUGGGAUACAAAGUGUCCAGAAAGAAGUCGGGAAGAGCAAGGAAGUAGGAGUGAAGGAAUGAAGGGUCAUUAGCGUGUUAUAUUAACACAUGGUAACGCUCAUUCACACGUACACAAGUGUAGGGAUCUCUGGAGCUCACUCCUCAGCCUGAAGUCUCGCCCUUUGCGCCAUUUAAGAAGUCCUUCUAAAUAUCAUGAUGGGUUGGAAUGCUUCAGGAGGGCAGACAGAUGUGUUUACGAGUUAAUCCUAAAUUUCAGUCUCACUAUGAGCUGAAUCAGGAGGAAGUGUCAGGCUACUGAAUCAGGAAGAAGUAAAAAGUAAAAAAGUGAAGUAAAUGUGAAAGUUGUCACAAGUAUAAAUAGUAAAGUAAAGUACAGAUAUCCAAUAAAAUUACUUGAGUAGUACAUUAAAGUAUUUUUACUUAAGUUAUUUACACCACUGCCUGUUUGUCUCUCACCAUGUCUCUCCUAUUAGAGGAUACUAUUCCAUUUCCAUUUCCAUUUACGUCAUUUAGCAGACGUUCUUAUCCAGAGCGACUUACAAGUUGGUGCAUUCACCUUAUGAUAUCCAGUGGAAAAACCACUUUAAAAUAGUACAUCUAUAUAUUUUUUUUGGGGGGGCGGGGUUAGAAGGAUUACUUUAUCCUAUCCCAGGUAUUCCUUAAAGAGGUGGGGUUUCAGGUGUCUCCGGAAGGUGGUGAUUGACUCCGCUAUCCUGGCGUCGUGAGGGAGCUUGUUCCACCAUUGGGGUGCCAGAGCAGCGAACAGUUUUGACUGGGCUGAGCGGGAACUGUGCUUCCGCAGAUGUAGGGAGGGGAGCAGGCCAGAGGUGGAUGAACGCAGUGCCCUUCUUUGGGUGUUGGGACUGAUCAGAGCCUGAAGGUACGGAGGUGCCGUUCCCCUCACAGCUCCGUAGGCAAGCACCAUGGUCUUGUAGCAGAUGCGAGCUUCAACUGGAAGCCAGUGGAGUGUGCGGAGGAGCGGGGGUACGCGAGAGAACUUUGGAAGGUUGAACAUCAGAUGGGCUGCGGCGUUCUGGAUGAGUUGCAGGGGUUUAAUGGCACAGGCAGGGAGCCCCGCCAGCAGCGAGUUGCAGUAAUCCAGACGGGAGAUGACAAGUGCCUGGAUUAGGACCUGCGCCGCUUCCUGUGUAAGGCAGGGUCGUACUCUGCGAAUGUUGUAGAGCAUGAACCUACAGGAUCGGGUCACCGCCUUGAUGUUAGCGGAGAACGACAGGGUGUUGUCCAGGGUCACGCCAAUGCUCUUAGCACUCUGGGAGGAGGACACAAUGGAGUUGUCAACCGUGAUGGCGAGAUCAUGGAACGGGCAGUCCUUCCCCGGGAGGAAGAGCAGCUCCGUCUUGCCGAGGUUCAGCUUGAGGUGGUGAUCCGUCAUCCACACUGAUAUGUCUGCCAGACAUGCAGAGAUGCGAUUCGCCACCUGGUUAUCAGAAG
rnacentral:lncRNA from 1 species